rnacentral:rRNA from 1 species
CCUACGGGUGGCAGCAGUGAGGAAUAUUGGUCAAUGGGCGCGAGCCUGAACCAGCCAAGUCGCGUGAGGGAAGACGGCCCUACGGGGUGUAAACCUCUUUUGUCGGGGAGCAACGGGCGCCACGUGUGGCGCCACUGAGAGUAACCGGAAAAAAAGCAACGGCUAACUCCGUGCCAGCAGGCACGGUAAUACGGAGGAUGCGAGCGUUAUCCGGUUUUAGUGGGUUUAAGGGGUACGUAGGCGGAGCGUUAAGUCAGUGGUCAAAUUGAGGGGCUCAACCCCUUCCCGCCAUUGAAACUGGCGCUCUUGAGUGGAAGAGAAGUAUGCGGAAUGCGUGGUGUAGCGGUGAAAUGCAUAGAUAUCACGCAGAACCCCGAUUGCGAAGGCAGCAUGCCGGCUUCCGACUGACGCUGAAGCACGAAAGCGUGGGGAUCGAACAGGAUUAGAUACCCGGGUAGUC